rnacentral:rRNA from 1 species
AUUCCUACGGGAGGCAGCAGUGGGGAAUAUUGGACAAUGGGGGCAACCCUGAUCCAGCAAUGCCGCGUGUGUGAAGAAGGCCUGAGGGUUGUAAAGCACUUUCAGUGGGGAGGAGGAUUGAUAGGUUAAGAGCUAAUUGAUUGGACGUUACCCACAGAAGAAGCACCGGCUAACUCCGUGCCAGCAGCCGCGGUAAUACGGAGGGUGCGAGCGUUAAUCGGAAUUACUGGGCGUAAAGCGUGCGUAGGUGGUUGGCUAAGUUAUCUGUAAAAUCCCCGGGCUUAACCUGGGCAGGUCAGAUAAUACUGGUUGACUCGAGUAUGGGAGAGGGUAGUGGAAUUUCCGGUGUAGCGGUGAAAUGCGUAGAGAUCGGAAGGAACACCAGUGGCGAAGGCGGCUACCUGGCCUAAUACUGACACUGAGGCACGAAAGCGUGGGGAGCAAACAGGAUUAGAUACCCUGGUAGUCCACGCCGUAAACGAUGUCAACUAGCUGUUGGUCAUAUUGAUAUGAUUAGUGGCGUAGCUAACGCGAUAAGUUGACCGCCUGGGGAGUACGGUCGCAAGACUGAAACUCAAAGGAAUUGACGGAU